rnacentral:rRNA from 1 species
GAUGAACGCUGGCGGCGUGCCUAAUACAUGCAAGUCGAGCGAACGGACGAGAAGCUUGCUUCUCUGAUGUUAGCGGCGGACGGGUGAGUAACACGUGGAUAACCUACCUAUAAGACUGGUAUAACUUCGGGAAACCGGAGCUAAUACCGGAUAAUAUUUUGAACCGCAUGGUUCAAAAGAGAAAGACGGUCUUGCUGUCACUUAUAGAUGGAUCCGCGCUGCAUUAGCUAGUUGGUAAGGUAACGGCUUACCAAGGCAACGAUGCAUAGCCGACCUGAGAGGGUGAUCGGCCACACUGGAACUGAGACACGGUCCAGACUCCUACGGGAGGCAGCAGUAGGGAAUCUUCCGCAAAGGGCGAAAGCCUGACGGAGCAACGCCGCGUGAGUGAUGAAGGUCUUCGGAUCGUAAAACUCUGUUAUUAGGGAAGAACAUAUGUGUAAGUAACUGUGCACAUCUUGACGGUACCUAAUCAGAAAGCCACGGCUAACUACGUG